rnacentral:SRP_RNA from 1 species
CCGUACUAGGCGGGGGGUUGGUGGUCCCCUGUAACCCGAAACCCACCUUAGCGGGGCCGAAUUCCCCGACUGAGGCUGUCCGGGUUCGGUUCCGGCACACCCGGUGGCAACGAAGGUUGGGUCCCACGCAACAACUGCCUACGAACCGGGUCAGGUCCGGAAGGAAGCAGCCCUAAGUAGGUAAGUGUGUGCCGUGGGGGUGCCCGGCUGGAGCCAUGCAGGGUGUGUACGGCCGGGUCUGGACAAGUCGAAGCGGGGUGUGCGG